rnacentral:tRNA from 1 species
CCUAAUGGCUCAGACAGUAAAGAAUCUGCCUGCAAUGCAGGAUACCCAGGUUCAAUCCCUGCAUUGGGA